GAUGAACGCUGGCGGCGUGCCUAAUACAUGCAAGUCGAGCGAACAGACGAGGAGCUUGCUCCUCUGACGUUAGCGGCGGACGGGUGAGUAACACGUGGAUAACCUACCUAUAAGACUGGGAUAACUUCGGGAAACCGGAGCUAAUACCGGAUAAUAUAUUGAACCGCAUGGUUCAAUAGUGAAAGACGGUUUUGCUGUCACUUAUAGAUGGAUCCGCGCCGCAUUAGCUAGUUGGUAAGGUAACGGCUUACCAAGGCGACGAUGCGUAGCCGACCUGAGAGGGUGAUCGGCCACACUGGAACUGAGACACGGUCCAGACUCCUACGGGAGGCAGCAGUAGGGAAUCUUCCGCAAUGGGCGAAAGCCUGACGGAGCAACGCCGCGUGAGUGAUGAAGGUCUUCGGAUCGUAAAACUCUGUUAUUAGGGAAGAACAAAUGUGUAAGUAACUAUGCACGUCUUGGCGGUACCUAAUCAGAAAGCCACGGCUAAUUACGUG
rnacentral:rRNA from 1 species